rnacentral:tRNA from 1 species
GGAGGGAUGGCCGAGCGGUUGAAGGCAACGGUCUUGAAAACCGUCGAGUGUAAUAGCUCCGUGGGUUCGAAUCCCACUCCCUCUU